rnacentral:tRNA from 1 species
GGCGCCGUGGCAAAGUGGUUAGCGCGCCUGUCUCUAACCCAGGAAUAAUGGGUACAAGGCUCGUCGCUGCUA